CUAUUUGGUUUUUCGAGAUCACCAACCAAAAUCUUACACCAAUAGUUUUUUGGGCUCAUUAUCAACCUAGUUGAUUUUACAGACUCACCAAUCAAAACCUUACACCAAUAGUUUUUCGGGCUCACUAUCAACCCAAUUGAUUUUAUGGGCUCACCAACCAAAACCCACAAAGUCCAAGUUCGGGCUUGAACGGAUCUGAUCCCUAAGUUUUUUUUCUCCAAAAAAAUUUGUAAAGAAAACAAAAUACAAGUAUAAGAAUUUCAAUUUAAAAUAAAAAUAAAAAAAUAAACUCUUUUGGGCGCAAAAAAGAUGC
rnacentral:lncRNA from 1 species